rnacentral:rRNA from 1 species
GACGUAGGUGGCGAACGUUAUCCGGAAUUAUUGGGCGUAAAGGGUGCGUAGAUGGCCUGAUAAGUUAGCAGUGGGAAAUCGAGGCUCAACCUCGUGGAAGCUGGUAAUACUGUCAGGCUCGAGUGCAGGAGAGGUUAACGGAACUCCAUGUGGAGCGGUAAAAUGUGUAGAUAUAUGGAAGAACACCAAUAACGGCGAAGGCAGUUAACUAUUCUGUUACUGACAUUGAGGCACGAAAGCGUGGGGAGCGAAACGG